GACGAACGCUGGCGGCGUGCUUAACACAUGCAAGUCGAACGGAAAGGCCCUGCUUUUGUGGGGUGCUCGAGUGGCGAACGGGUGAGUAACACGUGAGUAACCUGCCCUUGACUUUGGGAUAACUUCAGGAAACUGGGGCUAAUACCGGAUAGGAGCUCCUGCUGCAUGGUGGGGGUUGGAAAGUUUCGGCGGUUGGGGAUGGACUCGCGGCUUAUCAGCUUGUUGGUGGGGUAGUGGCUUACCAAGGCUUUGACGGGUAGCCGGCCUGAGAGGGUGACCGGCCACAUUGAGACUGAGAUACGGCCCAGACUCCUACGGGAGGCAGCAGUGGGGAAUAUUGCACAAUGGGCGGAAGCCUGAUGCAGCAACGCCGCGUGCGGGAUGACGGCCUUCGGGUUGUAAACCGCUUUCGCCUGUGACGAAGCGUGAGUGACGGUAAUGGGUAAAGAAGCACCGGCUAACUACGUGCCAGCAGCCGCGGUGAUACGUAGGGUGCGAGCGUUGUCCGGAUUUAUUGGGCGUAAAGGGCUCGUAGGUGGUUGAUCGCGUCGGAAGUGUAAUCUUGGGGCUUAACCCUGAGCGUGCUUUCGAUACGGGUUGACUUGAGGAAGGUAGGGGAGAAUGGAAUUCCUGGUGGAGCGGUGGAAUGCGCAGAUAUCAGGAGGAACACCAGUGGCGAAGGCGGUUCUCUGGGCCUUUCCUGACGCUGAGGAGCGAAAGCGUGGGGAGCGAACAGGCUUAGAUACCCCGGUAGUCCACGCUGUAAACGGUGGGUACUAGGUGUGGGGUCCAUUCCACGGGUUCCGUGCCGUAGCUAACGCUUUAAGUACCCCGCCUGGGGAGUACGGCCGCAAGGCUAAAACUCAAAGGAAUUGACGGGGCCCCGCACAAGCGGCGGAGCAUGCGGAUUAAUUCGAUGCAACGCGUAGAACCUUACCUGGGUUUGACAUGGAUCGGGAGUGCUCAGAGAUGGGUGUGCCUCUUUUGGGGUCGGUUCACAGGUGGUGCAUGGCUGUCGUCAGCUCGUGUCGUGAGAUGUUGGGUUGAGUCCCGCAACGAGCGCAACCCUUGUUCACUGUUGCCAGCACGUUAUGGUGGGGACUCAGUGGAGACCGCCGGGGUCAACUCGGAGGAAGGUGGGGAUGACGUCAAGUCAUCAUGCCCCUUAUGUCCAGGGCUUCACGCAUGCUACAAUGGCUGGUACAGAGAGUGGCGAGCCUGUGAGGGUGAGCGAAUCUCGGAAAGCCGGUCUCAGUUCGGAUUGGGGUCUGCAACUCGACCUCAUGAAGUCGGAGUCGCUAGUAAUCGCAGAUCAGCAACGCUGCGGUGAAUACGUUCCCGGG
rnacentral:rRNA from 1 species